rnacentral:rRNA from 1 species
GGGAAUUUUGGACAAUGGGGGAAACCCUGAUCCAGCCAUCCCGCGUGUGCGAUGAAGGCCUUCGGGUUGUAAAGCACUUUUGGCAGGAAAGAAACGUCAUGGGCUAAUACCCCGUGAAACUGACGGUACCUGCAGAAUAAGCACCGGCUAACUACGUGCCAGCAGCCGCGGUAAUACGUAGGGUGCAAGCGUUAAUCGGAAUUACUGGGCGUAAAGCGUGCGCAGGCGGUUCGGAAAGAAAGAUGUGAAAUCCCAGAGCUUAACUUUGGAACUGCAUUUUUAACUACCGAGCUAGAGUGUGUCAGAGGGAGGUGGAAUUCCGCGUGUAGCAGUGAAAUGCGUAGAUAUGCGGAGGAACACCGAUGGCGAAGGCAGCCUCCUGGGAUAACACUGACGCUCAUGCACGAAAGCGUGGGGAGCAA